GAUUUCAUGUGUAUGAUUGAGUAUAAGAACAAGAACCGC
rnacentral:sRNA from 1 species